GUGCCAGCCGCCGCGGUAAUACGUAGGUCCCGAGCGUUGUCCGGAUUUAUUGGGCGUAAAGCGAGCGCAGGUGGUUUAAUAAGUCUGAUGUAAAAGGCAGUGGCUCAACCAUUGUGUGCAUUGGAAACUGUUAGACUUGAGUGCAGUAGAGGAGAGUGGAAUUCCAUGUGUAGCGGUGAAAUGCGUAGAUAUAUGGAGGAACACCGGUGGCGAAAGCGGCUCUCUGGACUGUAACUGACACUGAGGCUCGAAAGCGUGGGUAGCAAACAGGAUUAGAUACCCUGGUAGUCCACGCCGUAAACGAUGAGUGCUAGUUGUUUGGGGCUAUCCAGCCCUAAGUGACGCAGCAAACGCAUUAAGCACUCCGCCUGGGGAGUACGACCGCAAGGUUGAAACUCAAAGGAAUUGACGGGGGCCCGCACAAGCGGUGGAGCAUGUGGUUUAAUUCGAAGCAACGCGAAGAACCUUACCAGGUCUUGACAUACCAGUGCUAUUCUUAGAGAUAAGAAGUUACUUCGGUACACUGGAUACAGGUGGUGCAUGGUUGUCGUCAGCUCGUGUCGUGAGAUGUUGGGUUAAGUCCCGCAACGAGCGCAACCCCUAUUGUUAGUUGCCAUCAUUAAGUUGGGCACUCUAGCGAGACUGCCGGGAAUAAACCGGAGGAAGGUGGGGAUGACGUCAAAUCAUCAUGCCCCUUAUGACCUGGGCUACACACGUGCUACAAUGGUUGGUACAACGAGUCGCAAGCUAGUGAUAGCAAGCUAAUCUCUUAAAGCCAAUCUCAGUUCGGAUUGUAGGCUGCAACUCGCCUACAUGAAGUCGGAAUCGCUAGUAAUCGCGGAUCAGCACGCCGCGGUGAAUACGUUCCCGGGCCUUGUACACACCGCCCGU
rnacentral:rRNA from 1 species